rnacentral:rRNA from 1 species
UCCGGAGGGUCCGAGCGUUAUCCGGAAUCAUUGGGUUUAAAGGGUCCGUAGGCGGGACAUUAAGUCAGGGGUGAAAUGUUGCAGCUCAACUGCAGAAUGGCCUUUGAUACUGGUGUUCUUGAGUUAUGUUGCUGUGGUCGGAACAUGUGGUGUAGCGGUGAAAUGCAUAGAUAUCGCAUAGAGCGCCGAUUGCGAAGGCAGGUCACAAAGCAUAUACUGACGCUGAGGGACGAAAGCGUGGGGAGAGAACGGG